rnacentral:rRNA from 1 species
UGGGGAAUUUUGGACAAUGGGCGAAAGCCUGAUCCAGCAAUGCCGCGUGUGUGAAGAAGGCCUUCGGGUUGUAAAGCACUUUUGUCCGGAAAGAAAUCCUUGGCUCUAAUACAGUCGGGGGAUGACGGUACCGGAAGAAUAAGCACCGGCUAACUACGUGCCAGCAGCCGCGGUAAUACGUAGGGUGCAAGCGUUAAUCGGAAUUACUGGGCGUAAAGCGUGCGCAGGCGGUUUGCUAAGACCGAUGUGAAAUCCCCGGGCUCAACCUGGGAACUGCAUUGGUGACUGGCAGGCUAGAGUAUGGCAGAGGGGGGUAGAAUUCCACGUGUAGCAGUGAAAUGCGUAGAGAUGUGGAGGAAUACCGAUGGCGAAGGCAGCCCCCUGGGCCAAUACUGACGCUCAUGCACGAAAGCGUGGGGGAGCAAACAGGAUUAGAUACCCUGGUAGUCCACGCCCUAAACGAUGUCAACUAGUUGUUGGGGAUUCAUUUCCUUAGUAACGUA